CUACGGGUCGCACCAGUGGGGAAUCUUAGACAAUGGGCGCAAGCCUGAUCAAGCCAUGCCGCGUGAGUGAUGAAGGCCUUAGGGUCGUAAAGCUCUUUCGCUGGGGAAGAUAAUGACGGUACCCAGUAAAGAAACCCCGGCUAACUCCGUGCCAGCAGCCGCGGUAAUACGGAGGGGGUUAGCGUUGUUCGGAAUUACUGGGCGUAAAGCGCGCGUAGGCGGACUGUUAAGUCGGGGGUGAAAUCCCGGGGCUCAACCCCGGAACGGCCUUCGAUACUGGCAGUCUGGAGUUCGAGAGAGGUGAGUGGAAUUCCGAGUGUAGAGGUGAAAUUCGUAGAUAUUCGGAGGAACACCAGUGGCGAAGGCGGCUCACUGGCUCGAUACUGACGCUGAGGUGCGAAAGUGUGGGGAGCAAACAGGAUUAGAUACCCGAGUAGUC
rnacentral:rRNA from 1 species